CAUAUAUAUAUAUAUAUGUAUAUAUGUAUGUAUAUUUGAAUAUAAAAAAGAAGUCUCUCUCUCUCUCUCUCUCUCUCUAUACAUGCAUAUACAUAUAUAAAUACAUAUGAAGAUAAGAAUGCGUACAUAUGCCGUAUCGAAACUGACAAUCGAGAUCAUUUAUCCACCUAUGUAUGCUACGAAUCUUUUAGCAGAUAUCUUAUACGUAAUUAUAAAUUAUCAGAGCACGGUCACGGUGUAAGGUAAUCGUAGAGAUGUAUAGGCAUAACGCCACUGAUAUAAUUGUAUGUGUGUAUGUACCUGCGAUAUCGUACGAUAUACAACAACGGGAUAAUCGAUCGCGUUUGCACGGACGAGCAUGCAGAGACGCUCUUGAAAUGAACGUUGAACACGUUCGAACGAUGUUGCUUCCGAAUCUGGAGUCUGCCUCUGUCGAGAACUGUGAUCGAGUAUCCCGGGAAACAAAGUAUAGUAAAAAAAAAAAAAAAAAAAAACAAAAGAAAAAAAAAAGAACUAGGGAUUACAUCCAAGCAACAACCUCUUCCCGUACAUAUCGGUGUUGUAUGUACUUGUUCUAACGUCUAAGUGUCCAAAGACAAUCUCAUCGAUUCGCGCCAAUGCUCACGUGGAUCAAACACAUCGGACAUGCACGUACCGAAAAUCAAAUUUCCGUGUAAUAUAUCACUGUGAUCGAUAACGACUAACGACAACUAGGCUAAAGUAAAUUUCAAUUUGCUUCCCGUUAGACUAUACACACGUGUAUACAGUUGAACGUAACGUAGACUCGGGUUGAAACGGUUCAAGUACCUCUAGGCCUCCUGUCCCUGUGCACGUGCAUUUCUAUUUACAAGUCUCUAACUAUGUAUAGUUUCAAGAAGAAUAAUUAUCUCCAACGCGUUCUAAACACUUAAACUGAAACUCUUACAUUACUGCAAGUUUUGACAAGUGAAGAGUAAUGAUCGUUAAUAUCGAGACUCACAAAUUCUUUUCUGUAUAUUCUAACCUUAGAAACUAUUAGACAGAGACACACGUUUCGAAUUGAAAAUAGACAGCGUUGCGAGAAGUUUGCAAUUUCCGCUUGCGUUUGUUUCUUGCAAGUUCGACUCGAUGAAAAAAAGAAUCGUACAAAAAGAUCCGAACUAGUCACUUUUCUUUAGCGACCGCACAGUUUCAUACAAGUUGUACAGAUACUGCUCAAUUACGGCCUAAAUCGUAAAAG